AGCAGUAGCCGCGGGAAAACGUAGGUGGCAAGCGUUGUCCGGAAUUAUUGGGCGUAAAGGGCUCGCAGGCGGUUUCUUAAGUCUGAUGUGAAAGCCCCCGGCUCAACCGGGGAGGGUCAUUGGAAACUGGGAAACUUGAGUGCAGAAGAGGAGAGUGGAAUUCCACGUGUAGCGGUGAAAUGCGUAGAGAUGUGGAGGAACACCAGUGGCGAAGGCGACUCUCUGGUCUGUAACUGACGCUGAGGAGCGAAAGCGUGGGGAGCGAACAGGAUUAGAUACCCCCGUAGUCCCUGUCUCUUAUAC
rnacentral:rRNA from 1 species